CAUGUAUCCGAUGCUUUAUUCCCUCGGGUGCUAUUUGUUUGCCAAAGGAUUGUUUAACCACUGUUUGACAAUUUCCAAAUGGGAAAAACUGCUGGGUUUCAUCCAGCGGAAGGGAGGAGCUUUGCAAAGUUUUCUGUUUAAUCUUGGUUAAAAGUAAACAACUUUACCCUUUCAGAAUUAGUCAUGCCUGCUGGAGAAAGGAUGGUGUGGAGGCACUCAGCAGAAGAGUGUGACAGUUUCCUGUGAUAAUUCCCAUGUGCGUUGAGGAUUGUAGGCACCAGGUUUUGCUCUAAUUGCCGGUGCGGCGUUGCAUAACCACAUCGGGACUCACUGCCUGUGCCUGGCGAGGCCGGGACCUGCUCCGAGCUCGUGAGGUGUUUCCUGCGGGCGGGGGAUGUCCCCGGCCGCCGAGUGAAGCCGAGCUGGGCUGCAUCUGGAGGCUGCCCCGCCGGGGGUCCCAUGGCACGGUCCUAGGCUUCUCCUUUUCUUGGAUCCACGCCUGUCUCCUCCCACAGAACGAGAGAGAGAGAGA